rnacentral:rRNA from 1 species
AUAUUGUAGGUAAAUGAGACCAACCCAAUGUGAACGUUACCAAACUGUUGCCUCGGCGGGAUCUCUGCCCCGGGUGCGUCGCAGCCCCGGACCAAGGCGCCCGCCGGAGGACCAACCAAAACUCUUUUGUAUACCCCCUCGCGGGUUUUUAUAUCUGAGCCAUCUCGGCGCCUCUCGUAGGCGUUUCGAAAAUGAAUCAAAACUUUCAACAACGGAUCUCUUGGUUCUGGCAUCGAUGAAGAACGCAGCGAAAUGCGAUAAGUAAUGUGAAUUGCAGAAUUCAGUGAAUCAUCGAAUCUUUGAACGCACAUUGCGCCCGCCAGUAUUCUGGCGGGCAUGCCUGUCCGAGCGUCAUUUCAACCCUCGAACCCCUCCGGGGGGUCGGCGUUGGGGAUCGGCCCUUUACGGGGCCGGCCCCGAAAUACAGUGGCGGUCUCGCCGCAGCCUCUCCUGCGCAGUAGUUUGCACACUCGCAUCGGGAGCGCGGCGCGUCCAUUGCCGUAAAACACCCAACUUUCUGAAAUGUUGACCUCGGAUCAGGUAGGAAUACCCGCUGAACUUAAGCAUAUCAAUAACCCGGAGGAAA